CUACGGGACGCUGCAGUGGGGAAUCUUAGACAAUGGGGGAAACCCUGAUCUAGCCAUGCCGCGUGAGUGAUGAAGGCCUUAGGGUUGUAAAGCUCUUUCGCUGGGGAAGAUAAUGACGGUACCCAGUAAAGAAACCCCGGCUAACUCCGUGCCAGCAGCCGCGGUAAUACGGAGGGGGUUAGCAUUGUUCGGAAUUACUGGGCGUAAAGCGCGCGUAGGCGGGCUAUUAAGUCAGGGGUGAAAUCCCGGGGCUCAACCCCGGAACUGCCUUUGAUACUGGUAGUCUUGAGUUCGAGAGAGGUGAGUGGAAUUCCGAGUGUAGAGGUGAAAUUCGUAGAUAUUCGGAGGAACAUCAGUGGCGAAGGCGACUCACUGGCUCGAUACUGACGCUGAGGUGCGAAAGUGUGGGGAGCAAACAGGAUUAGAUACCCGUGUAGUC
rnacentral:rRNA from 1 species